CCGGCGCCCGCGCACACGCGCGCACGGACGACACGCAGCCUGCGGCCGCCGCGUCCCGCCGCCGCCGCCGCCGCCGCCCGCCGCGCGCCCGCAGCCCGGCCCGGCCCGAGCCGCGGGGCCCGAGCGACGGCGCCGGCCGGGGCCGCGGCGCGGGGAAGCCACUCUGCACGGUCAGCGCCGGCCACAAGUUUGUUCCUCGGCUCCCGGGGGCCUCCGCGCUAAGGGAGAAUAACGCGGAGGGGGCUGAGAGGAGGGGGAGAGGGGAGGCGCCGAGGGGCAAAAGAGUGGAGAAAAGUGCGAAAAGAAGCAACAGCCGCUCCACCCGGGACCAGAAAAGUGGCUGGCCGCGUCCCGGCCGCCCGCCCUGCGCCGGGGAUGCGGCGGCUAACGGUCCAAGGAGGCGGCAGGGGCGGCAGGAGCCGCUAGGCGGAGAGAGACCAGAAAUCCUCAUCAAGAAGCCUCUGACAUCUUGAGACAUUGGAAGAAGCCCUGUGGUUCCAGAGAAACUCAAGACCAAAGCUACUGACUGGUGCCCCACCACCUCCCCCAACCAAGGAGGAGGCGCAGACUUGAGGUCGACAGCCUCGAAUAUUCCACUGCACACUCAUGUUGGGAGAGAGAUCAGGUCAUUCUAACUUGCCCAUUAAUGUAUAUGAAUUACUUAGUUAAUUCCACUGAGUUGCUUCUAUUUGAAAAGAAUUGUAUCAGGAACUGGAAUAAAAGUGCUGUUCAAUAAAGAAGGCAUAAUUAAAUGAGGACAUAAGUUAUUACAAUGUAAAGUUAAAUCGGAGGCAGAUUUAACAUGAAGUGAAAGAAGUGCCAGUGUCAGUGCCCCUCACUUACAUGGGCCCCUUCCGAUGCUCGGGGAGAGACCCUAUAAACAUACUUAUAUGGUCGUACAAUCUGGUAAACUUUGCAAAAGUGAGAAGUUUUGUUUUUUUUUUUUUUAAAGAUUUUAUUUAUUUGACAGAGAGAAACACAGCGAAAGAGGGAACACAAGCAGGGGCAGUGGGAGAGGGAGGAGCAGGCUUCCUGCGGAGCAGAGAGCCCGAUGCGGGCUCGAUCCCAGGACGCUGGGAUCAUGACCUGAGCUGAAGGCAGACACUUAACGACUGAGCCACCCAGGCGCCCCUGAGAAGUUUUUUUAAAACUACAGUUAAACUGUCUCUUUCCCGUCUUACUUUCCCUACCAUUGAAAUGGCCAAUGACAUUUUUGAGACCCAACAAAAAAGUUGUAUUGAGGACACAUGUAGUUGAGUUUAUUGAAAUAUAUGUAGGGGGCUGUGGUCACAAAUACUUCCUUUUAGAAUGAACUGAUUACCAGUUGCACUGGUGUAGGAGUGAUUUCUAGAAACAUCUUACUACCCCUGUGCUGAUUCAUUGAGUCCAUGGCUUGAGGGUAUAGAACAGAGGCUUUACCAUGACAAGAACCUGCCCUGUGGCACUCAGCCUAGGAAGUAAGUGGGUCCUGGAGGAGAUGCAAGGGUCUGACGUCUGUGCAGCCAGAAAGGAGUCUGGAGAAUUCCUCCAUUCAGAUGUGUAGAACUGUAAACAGUGAUUUGGUUCUCAACAGAGCCUGGUCAGAACAGAACUUUCCAAAGUCAAGAAUACUCUUAAUAACACAGCAUAAGUGGUUAUACACUUGUUAUACACAUGCACCAUCCAUUCUUUUUGUUGGUAAUUGUACAAAAUGAUAGAAUAUACAGGUCUUGAGGCACAACCCAGAGGCAGUACUACAAAGAGGGAGUCCAUCUAUAUGUGAAAUUCUAUAUUCUAGUCAUUCCAGUUAUCAACAAUAAAAACAUGUGACCAGCCAAUACAGAAGAAAGACCAGUAGCUACUGAAUGAAAAUGUUAUUUUUCUGGAUUUUGAAAUAUUCGUUGUAUUCAUUAACUCGUUAAGACUUGAUUUUGUUGUGAUUUCUUUUUCUAAAUAAAUAUGCAUUUUCAUAUCUGA